rnacentral:rRNA from 1 species
AACGUAGGUACCGAGCGUUAUCCGGAUUUACUGGGCGUAAAGCGCGUUCAGGCGGCUUGGCAAGUCGGGCAUGAAAUCUCUCGGCUCAACCGGGAGGGGCUGUCCGAUACUGCUGGGCUUGAGGGCAGGAGAGGGUGGUGGAAUUCCGGGUGUAGUGGUGAAAUGCGUAGAGAUCCGGAGGAACACCAGUGGCGAAAGCGGCCACCUGGCCUGCACCUGACGCUCCAACGCGAAAGCUAGGGGAGCGAACGGG